CUCCUGGAAACGGGUGGUAAUGCCGGAUGUUCCAGUUGAUCGCAUGGUCUUCUGGGAAAGCUUUCGCGGUAUGGGAUGGGGUCGCGUCCCAUCAGCUUGACGGCGGGGUAACGGCCCACCGUGGCUUCGACGGGUAGCCGGCCUGAGAGGGCGACUGGCCACAUUGGGACUGAGAUACGGCCCAGACUCCUACGGGAGGCAGCAGUGGGGAAUAUUGCACAAUGGGCGCAAGCCUGAUGCAGCGACGCCGCGUGAGGGAUGGAGGCCUUCGGGUUGUAAACCUCUUUUAUCGGGGAGCAAGCGUGAGUGAGUUUACCCGUUGAAUAAGCACCGGCUAACUACGUGCCAGCAGCCGCGGUAAUACGUAGGGUGCAAGCGUUAUCCGGAAUUAUUGGGCGUAAAGGGCUCGUAGGCGGUUCGUCGCGUCCGGUGUGAAAGUCCAUCGCUUAACGGUGGAUCCGCGCCGGGUACGGGCGGGCUUGAGUGCGGUAGGGGAGACUGGAAUUCCCGGUGUAACGGUGGAAUGUGUAGAUAUCGGGAAGAACACC
rnacentral:rRNA from 1 species